UGGGGAAUUUUGGACAAUGGGCGAAAGCCUGAUCCAGCAAUGCCGCGUGUGUGAAGAAGGCCUUCGGGUUGUAAAGCACUUUUGUCCGGAAAGAAAUGGCUCUGGUUAAUACCUGGGGUCGAUGACGGUACCGGAAGAAUAAGGACCGGCUAACUACGUGCCAGCAGCCGCGGUAAUACGUAGGGUCCAAGCGUUAAUCGGAAUUACUGGGCGUAAAGCGUGCGCAGGCGGUUGUGCAAGACCGAUGUGAAAUCCCCGAGCUUAACUUGGGAAUUGCAUUGGUGACUGCACGGCUAGAGUGUGUCAGAGGGGGGUAGAAUUCCACGUGUAGCAGUGAAAUGCGUAGAGAUGUGGAGGAAUACCGAUGGCGAAGGCAGCCCCCUGGGAUAACACUGACGCUCAUGCACGAAAGCGUGGGGAGCAAACAGGAUUAGAUACCCUGGUAGUCCACGCCCUAAACGAUGUCAACUAGUUGUUGGGGAUUCAUUUCCUUAGUAACGUAGCUAACGCGUGAAGUUGACCGCCUGGGGAGUACGGUCGCAAGAUUAAAAGCUCAAAAGG
rnacentral:rRNA from 1 species